UACAGAGGUCUCAAGCGUUGUUCGGAUUCAUUGGGCGUAAAGGGCGCGUAGGCUGCGGGGCAAGUCGGGUGUGAAAUCUCAGAGCUCAACUCUGAAACUGCACUCGAUACUGCUUUGCUCGAGGACUGGAGAGGAGAUUGGAAUUCACGGUGUAGCAGUGAAAUGCGUAGAUAUCGUAAGGAAGACCAGUGGCGAAGGCGGAUCUCUGGACAGUUCCUGACGCUGAGGCGCGAAGGCCAGGGGAGCAAACGGG
rnacentral:rRNA from 1 species